rnacentral:tRNA from 1 species
GCCACGAUGGCUCAGUUGGUAGAGCGUCACCUUGGUAAGGUGAAGGUCCCGAGUUCGAUCCUCGGUCGUGGCU